UAAAGUAAAACAACCAAACCUACCCUCGGCCUCCUCCCCUGCUCUGCCAUCGCCCGCAGAAGCCCACCCAAGCCCUCGCUCGCUCGCCGAGAUUCAUGGCGACCGAUGCGGCUGGGAGCGAACGCGCACGGGUGGGGGAGUUCGGCGAGCUCUUGCGGACCUGCUGGCCAUCGUGUGAGCCAGCAACCGCCGCUGCCGCCAGCAGCAGAAGCAGGGGGCGCGGGCGGAGAUCCCUUCGUGGGGCCGGCAUCGGCCGAGGAAGACCCCGAUGGCGCUGCCGGAUGAGAAGCCCGCGGCCGAUGAUGAUAGGAGCGAGGGCAUCGCCAGCCCGGACACCCCGCUCGCCUUCCCCGAGGACGACGAGCAUGACGAGGCGGCGGCGGCAAAGGAUGAGGCCAAGGCCAGCGCACAAGACAAGUGGUCGAGGUGGAGCUAUAGGCCAUCAAGGUUGCCUAUGUCGUGGGAUGAGGAAGAGGAUGGCGAAUGGGAGACACCGAAGAUUGACAACACUACUCCCCAAGUGUGAAGAGGCACCUGGUUGUGGUGAAUGGAAGAGGCCGAUGAAGCAGAAUCCGUCCAACAAAGAGAAGUGGCAUGCGCCCCUGAUUGACAAACCCAGAUGUUCUAAUGUAUCAAACGAUGCCAUGAUAGUUGGCAAUCAUGCUUCAAGUAUGAAAUCAGCUCAACCAUCUCCAAUAGUCUUCUUUCUUGCUAUCCAGGUCUUAAAAGAGCAGAAAAUCUUUGAACAAGGGGUGGAUGGGAGUACACAGUUUGGUCCCCUGUGCAGAAUAAAACAGUUUUAUGAUACAUAAGCUACAAUUUUCAGAACUGAAACACAGGAUUGCGCUGCCUUGCCCUGCCCGAUCGACGCCGGCUACAUCGCUACACUCCCCAUGGCCAGGUAAGCGCCUAGGCCAAGUAACAAGUUAUCACAUCUUCGUGAUCCAAUUAAAUGUGCCAAUGGACAAGUACGUACCAUCCUACAGAUAUUGUUGUCAUUGUUCUUCUAUUGUCAGUACGACAAAAAAAUUAGAAUUCAUCCAGUCCACGCCCUCCUCCUUAGUGCACGAUGGUGAUGUGUGUGUGUGUUGUGGUCAGCUUGCAGUGCCAGAUAGUUCACAGUCCCAACUCCAGUGUUAACUCUGUUAGUCUGUUGCACCUCUUGUAUUUCAAAUUUAGUUGGAACUGUAGAUUUGAGUUUACCAUUUUUGUAGAUGCCACGGGAAUUCAGAGAAUCCUAGAAACUUCUAUGUGGUGCAAACAAGUUUUAGUAGUAAGCUAUAGGUUUUUCAUAUAGGUUUUCCCCUACAAAAUAUUUACUUAGGUUAAGAGGUUGUAUGAUUGGAUUCAGCCUGGAAACUUUUGUGCAGGACCAUAGCUUCACCCCAAAUUGCUCUAUUAUGCUCGGCUCCAUGUAUUCACCCUUUCUAAUAUAUAGCUAAAUUUAAAUGCUUCUAUCAUCAUUUUGCCAAUGUUACUCUCCAUUACUUUAUGCACAAAUUAGCUCAUAGCUGUAUUUACGAGUUCUAGGAUGCUAGAUUUUUUUUCUGUUGACAAUCUUGUUUAUUUUUUGUUCAUUUAGCUAUCAUGUUUUUUAUUUGCGAUAGAAUACUGAAAGAGUUUGUUCACUCCAUGAUGAUUUAAAUAGGAAAAAUCUUGUCAUUAUGCCCUCCAACAUUAGCAACAUAUAACCCUUGUUCUGGUUUAUUUUCAAGAUGGUAAGCUACGCACGCUCUUGCUGUUCGCAGGAUUGCAUUCACCAAUCUAAUGCCCUCAUUGUUGGUUUUGGCCAGCUAUCUGAGCUAAUGCAGAAGCAUGAUAUGUUGCCAAUCCUUGUGUCCUUUGCAUCUUCAUGCUCAUCGCAAGUAGUUAGUCUCCUAUUUUAUGGUAAUAUUCUGAUCUUUUUAUGUGAUUUCAGAUGCUAUAUAAGGAACGUGCGUAGGCUGAGGAUUCUAAGCUAGCCACCUUGUUUUCCUCACAUGGGGAUAUUGAUGUAUGAUGCGGGAGAUAGAAGUCUUGUCCAUGGCCUUUUGAUUGAUGCAAAAUUUAUUCGAUGUUGUAGUAGGGACAUGCCUGAUUCACGCAAUUCCAAUGACUACUUUUUGAAAGUUAUGUUUCUGUAAUAUUUGAGCUUAUGUCUACACUUAAAUGAAGAGCAUCAGAUAUUUGUAAACCAUUAUUUUGCUUAGAAAGGUUCCUACAUAAAAAGAAUCCACUUAAGAAAGCAGAGUCGUUCGUGUGCUUCAUAUAAGCUAUAUACAUGCCAUCUCACCAAGCACUAUUAACAUGUUCUUUUUUCAAGAGAGCAUAUAUGUUUCUUCUUUUGUCACCAUGUCUUCACGAGCAGCCGUAACCCACACGCUCCUCAUUUCCUAGUUCUGCAGAUCAAGCACUAUCAAAGUUUAUUCUAAUUAUAUCAACGACCUCCAUGAUGAAAGCUUUAGCCAUUUGUAAUUAAUCUGGAGUACUUUACUGUUGGAUAUGAAGUUGCUUUGCUAUAAAUACCUCACAUUCAUUAUUUUAGAUGGUGCAGACUUUGCAAGUGUUCAAAGAAAUGAUGUGCUAUUCAAGGGGUUUGGGAGCACUAAUAAAGAAUCUCUUGCGGAACUUUUUGUACCGCUAAUGAGUCAAGUCGUCCCUCUGCAUCCCGAACUCCAAAAUGAGCAAGUCAGAGACUAACUCUAUAAAGGACAGCCUGGGAUGAAUGGUGUACUUUUGCAGCUCUAAAACAAAUGAGAAGGGAAAUUCAAGAAAUCAAGGGGAGUUGUGGACUGGGUGGAGAUGACAAGAGGGCUGCACGAGUUAAGUAAGUGGCAGCAGAGGUUACUGAAUGCCGCAAAGCAUCGUGGAAUAAGUGGACAAGCAAGCAGUUUCUACCAGCUUUAACUGCUCAUAGCUGAGAGAGGAUAUCUUCUCUAGAGGAUUUGCUAAUAUAGUACACCACAGCUUAGCUACAGCAACUGUGUCACCCACUGGAGGUUGACAACCCCGACCUAAAUUGGCAGUGGGGCACAGAACACUGGGCUAGUGUGCUGACUGAUCCCGUUUGCCACUAUAGAGAUGUUUCCAGCAAUGGUAUGUCUACCAGAACCAAUCGCAAUGGGUUAACAUGGAUGGAGGAAGAAAAGGUUCACUGAAUAGGGUGUAACUCUUUUAAAGAGCCAGCAUGUCGUCCAUGCUCAACUGUCAGAACUCACAAAGUUAACUCAUUGUUUACAGUA